rnacentral:rRNA from 1 species
GACGAACGCUGGCGGCGUGCUUAACACAUGCAAGUCGAACGGAAAGGCCCUGCUUUUGUGGGGUGCUCGAGUGGCGAACGGGUGAGUAACACGUGAGUAACCUGCCCUUGACUUUGGGAUAACUUCAGGAAACUGGGGCUAAUACCGGAUAGGAGCUCCUGCUGCAUGGUGGGGGUUGGAAAGUUUCGGCGGUUGAGGAUGGACUCGCGGUUUAUCAGCUUGUUGGUGGGGUAGUGGCUUACCAAGGCUUUGACGGGUAGCCGGCCUGAGAGGGUGACCGGCCACAUUGGGACUGAGAUACGGCCCAGACUCCUACGGGAGGCAGCAGUGGGGAAUAUUGCACAAUGGGCGGAAGCCUGAUGCAGCAACGCCGCGUGCGGGAUGACGGCCUUCGGGUUGUAAACCGCUUUCGCCUGUGACGAAGCGUGAGUGACGGUAAUGGGUAAAGAAGCACCGGCUAACUACGUG